UACAGAGGUCCCGAGCGUUGUUCGGAUUCACUGGGCGUAAAGGGUGCGUAGGUGGUGAGGAAAGUCGGAUGUGAAAUCUCCAAGCUUAACUUGGAAAUGGCAUUGGAAACUACCUUGCUGGAGGUUUGGAGGGGGGACUGGAAUUCUUGGUGUAGCAGUGAAAUGCGUAGAUAUCAAGAGGAACACCAGUGGCGAAGGCGAGUCCCUGGACAACACCUGACAUUGAGGCACGAAAGCUAGGGGAGCAAACAGG
rnacentral:rRNA from 1 species